rnacentral:misc_RNA from 1 species
UAUUGAGCUACUUGUCCAGUGGCAAACAUUUAGGUCUGUUGAUAACCAUUUCUACUCCUUGAGCAGGCGUCGCACUUGAUCUAUUGAAGCGCUAUCCUGCUUUAGCACGCAGAAGAGACUAUAGAGGAGAUUCUUCUUUGGACAUACUGGCUGAAAAGCCUCAGGCAUUCGCAAGUGAAAGUCGGCUUGGAUUUUUCCAACG